rnacentral:rRNA from 1 species
UACGAAGGGGACUAGCGUUGUUCGGAAUCACUGGGCGUAAAGCGCACGUAGGCGGAUGUGUCAGUCAGGGGUGAAAUCCCGGGGCUCAACCUCGGAACUGCCUUUGAUACAGCACGUCUCGAGUCCGGAAGAGGUGGGUGGAAUUCCUAGUGUAGAGGCGAAAUUCGUAGAUAUUAGGAAGAACACCGGUGGCGAAGGCGGCCCACUGGUCCGGUACUGACGCUGAGGUGCGAAAGCGUGGGGAGCAAACAGG